rnacentral:pre_miRNA from 1 species
CUUGUACUCCCUCCAUUUCAAAUUACUCAUCACAGAAAUGGAUGUAUCUAAAACUAAAAUACAUCUAGAUACAUCCAUAUCUGUGACAAGUAAUUCGGAACGGAGGGAGUAGAAC